rnacentral:rRNA from 2 species
GGGUUGUGAGGUUAAGCGACUAAGCGUACACGGUGGAUGCCCUGGCAGUCAGAGGCGAUGAAGGACGUGCUAAUCUGCGAAAAGCGCCGGCGAGGUGAUAUGAACCUUUGACCCGGCGAUGUCCGAAUGGGGAAACCCAGUGCAAUCCGUUGCACUAUCGUUAACUGAAUACAUAGGUUAACGAGGCGAACCGGGGGAACUGAAACAUCUAAGUACCCCGAGGAAAAGAAAUCAACCGAGAUUCCCCCAGUAGCGGCGAGCGAACGGGGAGCAGCCCGGAGUCUGAAUCAGCUUGUGUGUUAGUGGAACGGUCUGGAAAGUCCGACGGUACAGGGUGAUAGUCCCGUACACGAAAGCACACUUGCUGUGAACUCGAAGAGUAGGGCGGGACACGUGGUAUCCUGUCUGAAUAUGGGGGGACCAUCCUCCAAGGCUAAAUACUCCUGACUGACCGAUAGUGAACCAGUACCGUGAGGGAAAGGCGAAAAGAACCCCGGCGAGGGGAGUGAAAAAGAACCUGAAACCGUGUACGUACAAGCAGUGGGAGCCUCUUUAUGGGGUGACUGCGUACCUUUUGUAUAAUGGGUCAGCGACUUAUAUUCUGUAGCAAGGUUAACCGUAUAGGGGAGCCGAAGGGAAACCGAGUCUUAACUGGGCGUUAAGUUGCAGGGUAUAGACCCGAAACCCGGUGAUCUAGCCAUGGGCAGGUUGAAGGUUGGGUAACACUAACUGGAGGACCGAACCGACUAAUGUUGAAAAAUUAGCGGAUGACCUGUGGCUGGGGGUGAAAGGCCAAUCAAACCGGGAGAUAGCUGGUUCUCCCCGAAAGCUAUUUAGGUAGCGCCUCGUGAACUCAUCUUCGGGGGUAGAGCACUGUUUCGGCUAGGGGGCCAUCCCGGCUUACCAACCCGAUGCAAACUACGAAUACCGAAGAAUGUUAUCACGGGAGACACACGGCGGGUGCUAACGUCCGUCGUGAAGAGGGAAACAACCCAGACCGCCAGCUAAGGUCCCAAAGUCAUGGUUAAGUGGGAAACGAUGUGGGAAGGCACAGACAGCCAGGAUGUUGGCUUAGAAGCAGCCAUCAUUUAAAGAAAGCGUAAUAGCUCACUGGUCGAGUCGGCCUGCGCGGAAGAUGUAACGGGGCUAAACCAUGCACCGAAGCUGCGGCAGCGACACUAUGUGUUGUUGGGUAGGGGAGCGUUCUGUAAGCCGUUGAAGGUGUGCUGUGAGGCAUGCUGGAGGUAUCAGAAGUGCGAAUGCUGACAUAAGUAACGAUAAAGCGGGUGAAAAGCCCGCUCGCCGGAAGACCAAGGGUUCCUGUCCAACGUUAAUCGGGGCAGGGUGAGUCGACCCCUAAGGCGAGGCCGAAAGGCGUAGUCGAUGGGAAACAGGUUAAUAUUCCUGUACUUGGUGUUACUGCGAAGGGGGGACGGAGAAGGCUAUGUCAGCCGGGCGACGGUUGUCCCGGUUUAAGCAUGUAGGCGGAGGUUCCAGGUAAAUCCGGUACCUUUUAACGCUGAGGUGUGAUGACGAGGCACUACGGUGCUGAAGUGAUAAAUGCCCUGCUUCCAGGAAAAGCCUCUAAGCAUCAGGUAACACGAAAUCGUACCCCAAACCGACACAGGUGGUCAGGUAGAGAAUACCAAGGCGCUUGAGAGAACUCGGGUGAAGGAACUAGGCAAAAUGGUGCCGUAACUUCGGGAGAAGGCACGCUGAUGUGUAGGUGAAGCCCCUGCGGGUGGAGCUGAAAUCAGUCGAAGAUACCAGCUGGCUGCAACUGUUUAUUAAAAACACAGCACUGUGCAAACACGAAAGUGGACGUAUACGGUGUGACGCCUGCCCGGUGCCGGAAGGUUAAUUGAUGGGGUUAGCGGCAACGCGAAGCUCUUGAUCGAAGCCCCGGUAAACGGCGGCCGUAACUAUAACGGUCCUAAGGUAGCGAAAUUCCUUGUCGGGUAAGUUCCGACCUGCACGAAUGGCGUAAUGAUGGCCAGGCUGUCUCCACCCGAGACUCAGUGAAAUUGAACUCGCUGUGAAGAUGCAGUGUACCCGCGGCAAGACGGAAAGACCCCGUGAACCUUUACUAUAGCUUGACACUGAACACUGGUCCUUGAUGUGUAGGAUAGGUGGGAGGCUUUGAAGCGUGGACGCCAGUCUGCGUGGAGCCAACCUUGAAAUACCACCCUUUAAUGGCUGGUGUUCUAACGUAGACCCGUAAUCCGGGUUGCGGACAGUGUCUGGUGGGUAGUUUGACUGGGGCGGUCUCCUCCCAAAGAGUAACGGAGGAGCACGAAGGUUGGCUAAUCCUGGUCGGACAUCAGGAGGUUAGUGCAAUGGCAUAAGCCAGCUUGACUGCGAGCGUGACGGCGCGAGCAGGUGCGAAAGCAGGUCAUAGUGAUCCGGUGGUUCUGAAUGGAAGGGCCAUCGCUCAACGGAUAAAAGGUACUCCGGGGAUAACAGGCUGAUACCGCCCAAGAGUUCAUAUCGACGGCGGUGUUUGGCACCUCGAUGUCGGCUCAUCACAUCCUGGGGCUGAAGUAGGUCCCAAGGGUAUGGCUGUUCGCCAUUUAAAGUGGUACGCGAGCUGGGUUUAGAACGUCGUGAGACAGUUCGGUCCCUAUCUGCCGUGGGCGCUGGAGAAUUGAGGGGGGCUGCUCCUAGUACGAGAGGACCGGAGUGGACGCAUCACUGGUGUUCGGGUUGUCAUGCCAAUGGCACUGCCCGGUAGCUAAAUGCGGAAGAGAUAAGUGCUGAAAGCAUCUAAGCACGAAACUUGCCCCGAGAUGAGUUCUCCCUGAGAC